ACAACAUGAACUUGGAAGCAGAAUUUCAGGCCAAGAUGGAACCUCCCCGUCUCAGGAAGGCGAUUUCUGUUUAAUCCUUGGGAGGCUGCGCUGGCUGGGCCAGGCAGCACGCUCCUUUUCCGAUUAGGGAAAGGACUAAGCUGGGCCGGCAGUCUGCGACCCCUUCCCGGAACCCCAGCCGACUUCGGGGUAUACCUGAGCGCCUUCCGAUGGCUGCUCGCGGGGGUGUGAUCAUCGUCCCCGCAUCAGGCCCGCCAGGCAUCUGCGCGACUCGGGGGUAGGAGGGAGAUGCGUGGGUGGGAGGUGGGGGUCAAACCAAACACCGACAGGGCACACCUACGUUUAUGAUCCUUAAAUGAACUGCGAGGGAAAUUGUGUAAGUAUAAUUUAACUGAGAGAAAUUUAUUGCGAAAUACGCUUAGAGGACUGUGGUCUUUAACAGCCUCAGGGGUUCUUCGGCAAAGAGGUAACGGGGCUUGGAUUUACCACAACUCUGCGGCCACGUUUUCAAAUUUGGAAAAGGUCAGUAUAUAUAUAUAUAUAUAUAUUUGACAACAGGAUUUAUUUUGUAUUGUUGCUUUCCGGUAAUCUUUUUCUUUUGUUUUCUAGCACAGAUGAGAAAAGAAGGUUCAGGCGAUUUAUGCGAGAAAGGGCCAAUUUGAACACUGGUAACUAGUGGGAGAAAUAAACUUAUAAGCCACAAACACAUCGGUUCGCAACCGAGCCCACAGCCCCGCGAGGCGCCCCUUCUUCCCAGCUCCCGGAGGAUAACUUCAUUGACUGGCAGGUCGGCGGCCACUUCUGGGAGGGCCACUGUUUACCGAAUGAGAACCUCU
rnacentral:lncRNA from 1 species